rnacentral:rRNA from 1 species
GGGCAGCAGCAAGGAAUAUUGGGCAAUGGGCGAAAGCCUGACCCAGCGACGCCGCGUGGGGGAAGAAGGCCUUCGGGUCGUAAAUCCCUUUUCUCAGGGAAGAAUAAUGACGGUACCUGGGGAAUAAGCUUCGGCUAACUACGUGCCAGCAGCCGCGGUAAUACGUAGGAAGCGAGCGUUAUCCGGAUUUACUGGGCGUAAAGAGGGCGUAGGCGGCUCUUCAAGUCGGAUGUAAAAUCUCCCGGCUUAACUGGGAGGGAUCAUUCGAUACUGCUGGGCUAGAGGGCAGCAGAGGGAGGUGGAAUUCCCGGUGUAGUGGUGAAAUGCGUAGAUAUCGGGAGGAACACCAGUGGCGAAGGCGGCCUCCUGGGCUGUCACUGACGCUGAGGCCCGAAAGCGUGGGUAGCAAACAGGAUUAGAUACCCUAGUAGUC